UGAUUGUGCUGAUUUUGAGAAGCAAUAAAACUGGCCUUGUUUAUUUUAUUUUUUUUAGACUAGUUGAGUAUCUAGAGCAUCAGUGUUUGUGGUUUUGAUUACAGGCUCAAUGUCCAGAAACACAGAUCUUGUUCUGAGAAAUGAAUGCUAUUCCAUGUGAGAAAUUGCCAAGAAACUGAAGCAAACUUAAUGUGCCAUUGGAACACCGGCAUGAUGGUUGCUGAUAAUGGGCCUAUGUAGAUACUACAUUAAAAAGCUGCCAUUUGCAGCUACAAUAGUCAUUAACAACAUUAAGUGCCUACACUGCUUCUGAUCAAUUUGAUACUUAAUGGACAAAAAAUUGCUUUUCUUUUGAAACCAAACUUUUGAACGGUACAUUAUGUAUUAAAGUAAUGUUAAGAAGGGAAUCUGUUCAAGAGUAAAUCAACGUUGAAUGGUGAAUGCAAUGGGAAGGAAAAGGGCUAGUUUCACUGAAGAAAUGUUCUGUUUCACAGGGCAAAGAGGAAGGUGAAGUCAGAGAAAAGACAGUCUUCACUGGAUGGAGCUCCAAUUACUCCAGGGACUUCCAACGUGCUUGUUGAUCCCCAGGCUUUCCUGGGAGCUCAGCCUGAGAACGGAUCACCUCAACUGAGCUCAGGCAUGUCAACGCUGGCAACACAUCUGGAUGAUACUGCAGAACAUGGUGCUGUGGAGAAAGAGCUAAAUGAGCUGGGAGUGGAGGAAAGGAGCGGGUCCAGUGUCAACACAAAAGCUCAGUCAGCGACUGUUAACACGCAUCCAGAUUCUCCCUUGAACAUGCUAGCUGACCAAGCGCUUGCACAGGGCCAGCUCUCCAAUAACUACAUUUCCCAAGAGCACCUUGCAGUGACUUCAGACUUGUCACUCCAGAACAUCUCUCCACCACCACAAAAGAAAAAGAAACCGUGUUCUGAAGUGUCAUCAGGAUUUGUUCCUGGACACAAACCCACUCUGGGAAAUAAGGCUGGUCUUCCUGGGAUCCCUCUGUUGCAUGCCCUGGGCUUUCCAAUCACUUCCUUUGGACCGGGAAUGCAGACCCAGCUGCAGCAUUCCAAAGAUGCCCCUGUCACCAGCCCUACAUCCGGAACGUUCCUCCAUGGACUCUCACAGUGGCAGCCAACUGGUGGGAGUGGGAUCAAACGCUGAGAGGAAAUUAAACUGAUCAAAUCCCUGGAACAGGAAUGGAGACCAGAAUCAACAAAACAUUUUGGGAAAAUAAUCAUUGGAAAAUCUGAAUAAUAUAAAGGCCUAUUGAGCCCAAAAUCCAGAUUUCUGGACCGUGAUUAACUUUGGUCUAGUAACUGAAUGUAUUAUAGUGCUCCUCACGAUGGUGAUUAUGAAGAAUGUUGUACUCAUGGAAUGUUCCACUUAAAUGUAUACUAUUAAAGGGAGCUGUAUUGACAGUUAUAACUGUGGUAGCACUUAAUGAAAAAAAUAAAGCAUUAUAAACGUAUAUCAUAUGCUUUAUUCAUUAAAUGUCGCACCUACCUCUUUUAAUGAAAGUAUUAACUCAAAGCUUUUUUUUUUUAUUUAACAAAAACUGGAGAUUAUUGUGGAAUAACAUUUGACAAUUAGUCAAACUGCAACUUGAAUAUCCCUGAAAUAAAUGCUGAUGAGUUUCCUUUAUUAACCUGAAUUGUUCACCUACCCACCUCUUUACCUCUUAGACAUUUUUUUAUACUACUGUUUGCUGUAUAUGAGACACCAAGUGUUUUAACAAAUGAGCUAGUAGAUCUUAACUAUCCUGGGAAUCAGAGGUUCAAAGUCAUUCAUCUUAAAGAUAUUUUCUGUACCUUAGUGUUCUGACUGGCCCAACUCAUUGGUUUCAGUGACCAAUGUGAUGGUUUGAUGGUGUUUGCAAUCUAAGUCCAAGUCCUCUGGGAGGUGUUCAUAUCCUUUUUGUCGAAAACUAAUGUCCUUGGUGUACAGUUUGGCUAGAACAAGGACAUAAGGUAACUACUGUAAGUGCUGUUACACCUUGAGCUCCAUCUUUGGAACACUAUGGGAUAUAAAAGUUUAAAGUAAAUAUUAUUUAGAAUUUCUCAUGAUGGGAUGCUUUUUAUGGAUUUAAGUGGAAUCACCACCAUCUAGUGGUCCUAGUGUGAUUUCACUGGAUUUGGUUAAGAGCUGGUCUUUAUCAAUAUUAUCUUUGUUGUAUUUUUACGAUUAAACUCAUGUCUGGUCAGAGACCGUGUAAAUCAACAUCAAGAAAUUAGAUGAUGCUUGAUUUGCAAUAAGACCAUCACAAAAAACAAUCAUAACAGCCCCAGUAACAACAAUCACAAAAUAAUAGGUUAUAUGAAAGAUGACGAGGAAUAUAGCCCAUACAAAUGUACCACAAUGUUAAUUAAUGUCACUACCUUAUGUAUUUAUUCCUUUCACUUCAUGCUGCAUUUUUAUUUCAUUUGUUGUUCAUGCGUUUUUAAGGUUUGAAUUGCCUUUGUAAUCCACUGCACCAAUAAACUUAAUUUUCUUGCGUAACUUAUGAC
rnacentral:lncRNA from 1 species